UACGGAGGGUGCAAGCGUUGUUCGGAAUUAUUGGGCGUAAAGCGCGUGUAGGCGGGCCACUAAGUCUGGUGUGAAAUCCCUCGGCUUAACUGAGGACGUGCAUCGGAUACUGGUGGUCUUGAGUCCUGGAGAGGGUAGCGGAAUUCCCAGUGUAGAGGUGAAAUUCGUAGAUAUUGGGAGGAACACCGGUGGCGAAGGCGGCUACCUGGACAGUGACUGACGCUGAGACGCGAAAGCAUGGGUAGCAAACAGG
rnacentral:rRNA from 1 species